GUGCUCGCUUUGGCAGCACAUAUACUAAAAUUGGAAUAAUACAUGCUAAUGCAUGGCUCCUGCGCAAGGAUGACACGCAAAUUCGUGAAGCGUUCCAUAUUUUA